rnacentral:rRNA from 1 species
UGGGGAAUUUUGGACAAUUGGGCGAAAGCCUGAUCCAGCAAUGCCGCGUGUGUGAAGAAGGCCUUCGGGUUGUAAAGCACUUUUGUCCGGAAAGAAAUCCUUGGCUCUAAUACAGUCGGGGGAUGACGGUACCGGAAGAAUAAGCACCGGCUAACUACGUGCCAGCAGCCGCGGUAAUACGUAGGGUGCAAGCGUUAAUCGGAAUUACUGGGCGUAAAGCGUGCGCAGGCGGUUUGCUAAGACCGAUGUGAAAUCCCCGGGCUCAACCUGGGAACUGCAUUGGUGACUGGCAGGCUAGAGUAUGGCAGAGGGGGGUUAGAAUUCCACGUGUAGCAGUGAAAUGCGUAGAGAUGUGGAGGAAUACCGAUGGCGAAGGCAGCCCCCUGGGCCAAUACUGACGCUCAUGCACGAAAGCGUGGGGAGCAAACAGGAUUAGAUACCCUGGUAGUCACGCCCUAAACGAUGUCAACUAGUUGUUGGGGAUUCAUUUUCCUUAGUAACGUAGCUAACGCGUGAAGUUGACCGCUGGGGAGUACGUCGCAA